rnacentral:rRNA from 1 species
GGGUUGUGAGGUUAAGCGACUAAGCGUACACGGUGGAUGCCCUGGCAGUCAGAGGCGAUGAAGGACGUGCUAAUCUGCGAUAAGCGUCGGUAAGGUGAUAUGAACCGUUAUAACCGGCGAUUUCCGAAUGGGGAAACCCAGUGUGUUUCGACACACUAUCAUUAACUGAAUCCAUAGGUUAAUGAGGCGAACCGGGGGAACUGAAACAUCUAAGUACCCCGAGGAAAAGAAAUCAACCGAGAUUCCCCCAGUAGCGGCGAGCGAACGGGGAGCAGCCCAGAGCCUGAAUCAGUGUGUGUGUUAGUGGAAGCGUCUGGAAAGGCGCGCGAUACAGGGUGACAGCCCCGUACACAAAAAUGCACAUGCUGUGAGCUCGAUGAGUAGGGCGGGACACGUGGUAUCCUGUCUGAAUAUGGGGGGACCAUCCUCCAAGGCUAAAUACUCCUGACUGACCGAUAGUGAACCAGUACCGUGAGGGAAAGGCGAAAAGAACCCCGGCGAGGGGAGUGAAAAAGAACCUGAAACCGUGUACGUACAAGCAGUGGGAGCACAGAGCAAUCUGUGUGACUGCGUACCUUUUGUAUAAUGGGUCAGCGACUUAUAUUCUGUAGCAAGGUUAACCGAAUAGGGGAGCCGAAGGGAAACCGAGUCUUAACUGGGCGUUAAGUUGCAGGGUAUAGACCCGAAACCCGGUGAUCUAGCCAUGGGCAGGUUGAAGGUUGGGUAACACUAACUGGAGGACCGAACCGACUAAUGUUGAAAAAUUAGCGGAUGACUUGUGGCUGGGGGUGAAAGGCCAAUCAAACCGGGAGAUAGCUGGUUCUCCCCGAAAGCUAUUUAGGUAGCGCCUCGUGAAUUCAUCUCCGGGGGUAGAGCACUGUUUCGGCAAGGGGGUCAUCCCGACUUACCAACCCGAUGCAAACUGCGAAUACCGGAGAAUGUUAUCACGGGAGACACACGGCGGGUGCUAACGUCCGUCGUGAAGAGGGAAACAACCCAGACCGCCAGCUAAGGUCCCAAAGUCAUGGUUAAGUGGGAAACGAUGUGGGAAGGCCCAGACAGCCAGGAUGUUGGCUUAGAAGCAGCCAUCAUUUAAAGAAAGCGUAAUAGCUCACUGGUCGAGUCGGCCUGCGCGGAAGAUGUAACGGGGCUAAACCAUGCACCGAAGCUGCGGCAGCGACGCUUAUGCGUUGUUGGGUAGGGGAGCGUUCUGUAAGCCUGUGAAGGUGUGCUGUGAGGCAUGCUGGAGGUAUCAGAAGUGCGAAUGCUGACAUAAGUAACGAUAAAGCGGGUGAAAAGCCCGCUCGCCGGAAGACCAAGGGUUCCUGUCCAACGUUAAUCGGGGCAGGGUGAGUCGACCCCUAAGGCGAGGCCGAAAGGCGUAGUCGAUGGGAAACAGGUUAAUAUUCCUGUACUUGGUGUUACUGCGAAGGGGGGACGGAGAAGGCUAUGUUGGCCGGGCGACGGUUGUCCCGGUUUAAGCGUGUAGGCUGGUUUUCCAGGCAAAUCCGGAAAAUCAAGGCUGAGGCGUGAUGACGAGGCACUACGGUGCUGAAGCAACAAAUGCCCUGCUUCCAGGAAAAGCCUCUAAGCAUCAGGUAACAUCAAAUCGUACCCCAAACCGACACAGGUGGUCAGGUAGAGAAUACCAAGGCGCUUGAGAGAACUCGGGUGAAGGAACUAGGCAAAAUGGUGCCGUAACUUCGGGAGAAGGCACGCUGAUAUGUAGGUGAAGUCCCUCGCGGAUGGAGCUGAAAUCAGUCGAAGAUACCAGCUGGCUGCAACUGUUUAUUAAAAACACAGCACUGUGCAAACACGAAAGUGGACGUAUACGGUGUGACGCCUGCCCGGUGCCGGAAGGUUAAUUGAUGGGGUUAGCGCAAGCGAAGCUCUUGAUCGAAGCCCCGGUAAACGGCGGCCGUAACUAUAACGGUCCUAAGGUAGCGAAAUUCCUUGUCGGGUAAGUUCCGACCUGCACGAAUGGCGUAAUGAUGGCCAGGCUGUCUCCACCCGAGACUCAGUGAAAUUGAACUCGCUGUGAAGAUGCAGUGUACCCGCGGCAAGACGGAAAGACCCCGUGAACCUUUACUAUAGCUUGACACUGAACAUUGAGCCUUGAUGUGUAGGAUAGGUGGGAGGCUUUGAAGUGUGGACGCCAGUCUGCAUGGAGCCGACCUUGAAAUACCACCCUUUAAUGUUUGAUGUUCUAACGUUGACCCGUAAUCCGGGUUGCGGACAGUGUCUGGUGGGUAGUUUGACUGGGGCGGUCUCCUCCUAAAGAGUAACGGAGGAGCACGAAGGUUGGCUAAUCCUGGUCGGACAUCAGGAGGUUAGUGCAAUGGCAUAAGCCAGCUUGACUGCGAGCGUGACGGCGCGAGCAGGUGCGAAAGCAGGUCAUAGUGAUCCGGUGGUUCUGAAUGGAAGGGCCAUCGCUCAACGGAUAAAAGGUACUCCGGGGAUAACAGGCUGAUACCGCCCAAGAGUUCAUAUCGACGGCGGUGUUUGGCACCUCGAUGUCGGCUCAUCACAUCCUGGGGCUGAAGUAGGUCCCAAGGGUAUGGCUGUUCGCCAUUUAAAGUGGUACGCGAGCUGGGUUUAGAACGUCGUGAGACAGUUCGGUCCCUAUCUGCCGUGGGCGCUGGAGAACUGAGGGGGGCUGCUCCUAGUACGAGAGGACCGGAGUGGACGCAUCACUGGUGUUCGGGUUGUCAUGCCAAUGGCACUGCCCGGUAGCUAAAUGCGGAAGAGAUAAGUGCUGAAAGCAUCUAAGCACGAAACUUGCCCCGAGAUGAGUUCUCCCUGACUCCUUGAGAGUCCUGAAGGAACGUUGAAGACGACGACGUUGAUAGGCCGGGUGUGUAAGCGCAGCGAUGCGUUGAGCUAACCGGUACUAAUGAACCGUGAGGCUUAACCUUACAACGCCGAAGGUGUUU